UUUAAACUUGACAUAUAGUUAGUUAUAGUUACUUAUCAUAACUAAAAGAAUAUUUUUUACUUCAAAGAACUUUUUCCUACUUCAAAGAGAACUUUUUUCUUCAAAGGGGAAAAUUUGUUAUUGUUGCUUAUUGAACAUGUGUGAUGAUACUUCAGAGGGUUGAUUGUAACAAUAGUCAACGUAAUUGGAUCAAUUAUAUGCAAUUACGUCGUGUAUAAAAUGUAAAAACAUAUUUCACCCAUAUAAUUGGAGUAAUUAUAUGAUCGUAAAAAGGUUAAAUAUAUAUGCACACCACCUGGCGAAAUUGUCAAAAAGAGAAUAAGAGCCCUGGGGGGUUGGAUAUCAUAUCUGAGAGCGCUAGGCCAACCAGAAUGCCUAAAAUCCCGUAUCCCGCUUUGCAAAAUCUAGACGAUUAAAAUAGAAGCGUCCGGUCACGUGGUCGAUAUAAGCCAAUAAAAACGUCAGUCAAAGAUUUUCACGAUCCCGAACCUGCCCGAAAUGCACUUUGUUGUAUUAUGCGGCCAGAAGGAAAAGAAAGGAACAGUCGAACAAGAAAUAAAUUAUAUAAUAUCAAAGAAGCAUAAAAAAACAGUUCUUUUAAGAACUAUUAAGAAGAAUAUAAACGUGGGCUUCCAACAUCUGGAUCACAUGGAACGUUGGCUGUAAGAGCUCUGAUUGCUCAUGAGCAAAAAGUAGAAGUAAAAGCCACUGCUGAACAUACAAUUUGCUUCUGCGUAACAUGCGAAAAGACAUUUGAUUCAGACGAAGAGCUGACUUGGAAUGUUUGGAAGGGUAAGUCGGUUUAAAAUAACUGAAACAAAUACCCUUUUUGGUUGGUUCGUUUUUAACGUAAUUUCGAACGUUUUCUUCUCCCUUUAAAAUUUGAACUGUACAUUCUAAUUUAAGUAGUUGUGGAUUAAAAUUUGCCAUACACUCAAUUAUAGUGCCGUAUUUUUCCUGCGUGCGCAGAAAUUGAGGUAACUUUUCUGAUUAGUUUGUUUACAUUUUUACCUCCAUUUCUGCGUGCGCAUCGGGCAUUACAUAAUCACUUAGAUGCGUGCGCAAGUAAAUAUCAGGACUGUGAUUCCAUGUAUUGGUAUUCCAUCUAAUCAUGUGCAAAAUUUAAUUGUUGUUUUAAAGAUGAGAAUAGAUUUCAGCUAUAAAAUGGCUACUGACCGGUUUUGAUUCUGCCCUGUAAAAUACAAAGCCAUUUGUCAGGGGCACAGACCUCACAAGCUUGGUCUGUACUUUUGAGCCAGGCUUUGUAUUUCACAGUACGUUAUCAAAACCGGUCAGUAUUUGUUUAUUAAUGAUUAGGCAGACGUCACAAAUAUUUGGUGUUAGAGUCACCCGACUGACCCUAAUUUUUGAUCGAAAUUUUUGAUAUACUGAGUCGGAAAAACUAAAAUGACAAAAAAUAUUAUACGCUUGUUGUCUCUCCACAGCGAUUGCAGCGAUUGUUGUGCUUCGCUUUAAAAUGUGAAAAGUGUUCACGCGGAAACUGCCGGAGAUGCCAAAGUUAUCAUUAAAUAUCGGCGAUUUAAUGGCGCGCGUUAAUGGCUGGAUGGUUGGAUAAAAUUUUUUGAAAUUUUGAGUUAUCAUUCGCCGAUCUACCGACCGACUCUAUUUUUGGUGCUCAAAUGACUCUAACACCCGAUAUUUGUGACGUCCGCCUUAUGUAAUUUGGAUGCCAGCUAUCGUUCAAAGUGUUUCCACUCUUUGAAGGCUUGAAAUGCAUAAAGAACUGUCAAUUCUGAAUUCCAGCUUGUAUUGAGGCUUUCGGUGGUAAAGUAGCUGUAUAUUUAUUUUUACUAUAAAGCCAAUGUUUAGCUAGCUACUAAUAAAAAGCCUGUAAUUAGUAAGUUAAAAAGAACACCCACUGUGCUGAAUGAUAAAAGAUAAAUGGGCUGUGGUAUUUCUUUUGAAUAAACUUCACUUCUUUUAUUCUGAACUUCUGGUAACCAAUUAAACCGGGGCUAUGGUAACAUUCAGAUUCACUCACCCAUGUUGAAUCUCCAUCAAGAGGAAUCGAGCCCCGGUCAGAGUACGAGAGCUAUAACCACUAAUCUACGGCCCCACAAGUAACCUCGAGAUUUCCUCCUUUACACAAACCAGGGUUUCAAAUAACCUGGAAAAUACUUAAACUUGAAGUAUAGACCUAUAUUUUGAAAUUUUAACCCCCCCUGACGGUUUUUUUUUAAUAACUCCUGAUUGCUUUGUUAUAUGGCUAUGAUACUUACUGAGUUUUAACAUUUAUCUAUUAGACACCUGCAUGCUAAUUUUUUAGGUCCCAUACCUUUCAGAGGCUUUGAUAUUGGCCAUUACUCGAAACUACCCCUAAAAAUCUCUAUGAAAUCCUUAUAAUGGGGAAAAUAUAAUAACUCCUGUUAGGAUUAUCCUUAGAACUUGAAACUUGCAACACAACUUUGUUUUAUCAAGAAGAAUCAUUUGGAAUAAUUUGAACACGUGACUAAUUCGAUUUCCCGAUUUUGUCGGAUUUUACCCGAAAAUCGGAAAAAACGGAUUUUCUGGAAAUUUUUGGCAAUUUUUUAUCCGAUCCAUGUAAAAACCGGAAGAUAUGUUAAAUAACUUUUAUUUAGCUUUCAGAAACUUCAAACAGAAUGUAAAAAUUCGCUCUAGAACAAAAGUAAUUAUAUUUCAAGCAGAUAGUGGCAUUUUAAAAUCGGAAUCCGCCCCCCCCAGUCAUAGUUUGUGCGAAAAACCCCGGACCGAAUAGGGUUAAAACAGAUGAUCAUUCCAAUUUAUUUUUAAAAAAAUUAUAAUUUGUUAGGAUUUGUGCGUUUAAUGUUUACAAAAUCAAGAUUUUUAAUUUUAAAAAUGUUACCACAAGAUUUUUAGUUCCGUAAAUUCUCAGUGAUCUGCUGUUAUAGGACCAAAAAAUAACUUUUUGAGGAAAAUGAUGAUAAUAGGUAUAAUUUACAUAUAAAAAUUGAUUCUUUCCAGUAUACAAUUUCUGGCAACAAUAACUUGCGCUGUUGAUUGUCAUAAUACUUAUUACUGCCAUUCAUUGGAAAGCCAUGCUAUUAAUAGUACACAUUAACUGUGGAAAUUUCCUAUUAAAAAGUUUAAAUUGGUGUUUUUUUUUUCAAUUAUCUGCUGAAUAAUAAUUUUAUAAAAAGAUUAAAAAAUAAUUUUUUGAGGAAAACGUUAGUUUUUAAAAUCUGAUGUGGUGGAAAAGUAGGCCAGGGUUGAUUUUUUAUAUAAAGAGAAUAUUUUUUUAAAUAUAAUUUCCACCAACAUGAAAUGCAGCUAAUUCCAUACUGAAUACAUGUUCUGAAAGAGCUGGCACAUUUAUAUUUAUUUUUGAAAAAAAGAGACAGUGUACGUCAUCUAUUCAAAGAUAUCUGAGUUAAGCAUAUAAUUAUAUUUCUGUAGCCUGAGCUAGAUUGAAUUUUGUUAAUUAUUUUGAGUAAGCUUAUUUUUUAAAGAAAGACAAAUAGUGCUGUGUGUUCACUUAGUAGUAGGAAUACUUUUUGCCACUUGAAAUACAAUUGAUCUGAAGAUAUUUUUUUGUCUUGUAUGAAAGAAAUUUGGACAAUACUUUAAGGCAAAAACUUCUAUUGUUCUUUGCUCACGUGAUCAUUAUUGGGAAAUCUUUUCUUCUUUAAUGUUAGAUGUGGCCAUGCUGGCUUUAUGCAUAUUGGUUGAUUUUAAUUCGGGUUGCACUGAAAAAUUAUUACUUCGAACCUCUUCUGUCUCACAAGGGAGAAAUUAAUAAUGAUGCAAAGUGAUGAGGUGUCUUUUACUGGCUCAAGCAACGUUCUUAGCAAAAUAUUUAUUUUUUUUAAGAAAUAAAUAUACUUAAUCGCUUUUUUUAACAUUCUUUUCGUCAAAAAACUUUAUCAUUUGCUUCAUUAAAAAAUCUUUUAUACUUUACAAGCCAAUUUAUUUUUUUUUACAGUUCAGCAAUAUUUUUCCUCUGCACGCGCUUUUUUUGCGCACAAAUGUAAACAAAUUUUAUGUAACGUUAAAAUUUUCUCCGUGAUGGAGUACCAUUGAAAUGCGUGAUAUAAAAUCAAAUAUGUUCGGGCUAGAUAAUUUGUUAAAACGGGGUAUUAUUAUUGUAUAAAUAAAAAUCAAUCUUAUGAUUAUGGUAAGUCAUAAAUGUGUUGCAGAAGCUACUGACUUACAAGUGGUUGUUUUGACAAAGCUGUUUUAGAAACUGCAUUAUCAGCAUUACAUGCAGCCAUUAUAAAGUUACAAAGAUUGAAGAAAA